GGUGGCCUAGUGGUUAGAGUGUCCGCCUCAGAUGCGGAAGGUUGUAGGUUCGAUCCACGGUAGAGUCA